UAUGGCGAUGAUGACGCUCUUGCCCUCACUGAGAAUGCUGUUCAAUAAUGAGAACCCCACAAAGUACUCAGAAGAGCUGAGCCAGC
rnacentral:snoRNA from 1 species